CUUGCUUCUCUUGAGAGCGGCGGACGGGUGAGUACAUGCCUAGGAAUCUGCCUGGUAGUGGGGGAUAACGUCCGGAAACGGACGCUAAUACCGCAUACGUCCUACGGGAGAAAGCAGGGGACCUUCGGGCCUUGCGCUAUCAGAUGAGCCUAGGUCGGAUUAGCUAGUUGGUGGGGUAAUGGCUCACCAAGGCGACGAUCCGUAACUGGUCUGAGAGGAUGAUCAGUCACACUGGAACUGAGACACGGUCCAGACUCCUACGGGAGGCAGCAGUGGGGAAUAUUGGACAAUGGGCGAAAGCCUGAUCCAGCCAUGCCGCGUGUGUGAAGAAGGUCUUCGGAUUGUAAAGCACUUUAAGUUGGGAGGAAGGGCAGUAAAUUAAUACUUUGCUGUUUUGACGUUACCGACAGAAUAAGCACCGGCUAACUCUGUGCCAGCAGCCGCGGUAAUACAGAGGGUGCAAGCGUUAAUCGGAAUUACUGGGCGUAAAGCGCGCGUAGGUGGUUCGUUAAGUUGGAUGUGAAAUCCCCGGGCUCAACCUGGGAACUGCAUUCAAAACUGACGAGCUAGAGUAUGGUAGAGGGUGGUGGAAUUUCCUGUGUAGCGGUGAAAUGCGUAGAUAUAGGAAGGAACACC
rnacentral:rRNA from 1 species